rnacentral:rRNA from 1 species
GGACGAACGCUGGCGGCGUGCCUAAUACAUGCAAGUAGAACGCUGAAGACUUUAGCUUGCUAAAGUGGAAGAGUUGCGAACGGGUGAGUAACGCGUAGGUAACCUGCCUACUAGCGGGGGAUAACUAUUGGAAACGAUAGCUAAUACCGCAUAACAGCAUUUAACACAUGUUAGAUGCUUGAAAGGAGCAAUUGCUUCACUAGUAGAUGGACCUGCGUUGUAUUAGCUAGUUGGUGAGGUAACGGCUCACCAAGGCGACGAUACAUAGCCGACCUGAGAGGGUGAUCGGCCACACUGGGACUGAGACACGGCCCAGACUCCUACGGGAGGCAGCAGUAGGGAAUCUUCGGCAAUGGGGGCAACCCUGACCGAGCAACGCCGCGUGAGUGAAAGAAGGUUUUCGGAUCGUAAAGCUCUGUUGUAAGAGAAGAACGUGUGUGAGAGUGGAAAGUUCACACAGUGACGGUAACUUACCAGAAAGGGACGGCUAACUACGUGCCAGCCGCAGC